UUAGCUCAGUGGGUUAUACUUUAGAGCGUCUGUUUUACACACAGAAGGUCGAGAGUUCGAAACUCCCA
rnacentral:tRNA from 2 species